rnacentral:lncRNA from 1 species
AUGGUGACAUCCAGCCUGUGAGGCCACCUGGUGCGGCUUGGGAACCCGCAGAAGCCUGCACUGAAGCCCAGCAAACCCCUCAUCCUAGCUAACCGCAGCAAGGACUGGCGUCCGGAGAAGGGCGAGGCCGCUUGUAUCAUGGAGUGUCAGCUUGCUGGAAGCCGAAUGAAUUCCGCGAUGAUAUGUGCAGAAAAGAGAUCCAGGGCUUUUUCGAUUGUGCUUCAAGGGAUUAGGAAGCCUAAAAAAUGAGAUCAAUACAGGAGACCCUGGGAGAGUCUGGGAGUUUACCUCCCAAUAAAUAGAGUAAGUUGUCAUAGAGGUUUCCUAAGACACCUCACCUAAGC